rnacentral:lncRNA from 1 species
AAAGGUUACUAUUCCAACAGCAACCCCAAACUUAGAUAGAAAUGUAGAGAUGAAAUCAAUUCUCACAUACUCUGAACAGGGUAGGAUGGGUAAAAGGUCAUGGCUUUAGAAAAAAACGGGUAUAUCAAAAAUAAAUGAUUAACAGGCUCAACAGGGUAAAACAAUGGAUAAUAAUAAUAAUGGGAUGGCUAGAAGGGCUCUAGGU